GAUGGCCCUAGAGUAAGCCAGAUGGAACAGGAUAGAACUAAUCAUGAUGAAGGCAAUGGUUUAAAUCCUUUUUUAAUUCCACAUCCUUCUCAUGUUUACCAAGCAGAGCCUUUGUCAGUGAAGCUGCAGAAUGGAAACACAUCAGCAGAAAAGAUCUACAAUGAAUUGAAUGGCCACCAUAUGUGGCUGCACGGGAAGGCCAGCUAUGGAAUGAAGCAUACUGCUAAAAGGAAUGAAAGUAGUAGAAUAAGCCCUGACCUUCUUCAGCAAAAGAAACAUUGCAGUGGGUAUUUGCAAAAUGGAGGGAUAAAACGCACUUUUAGUGAGCCUUCUUUGUACGGGCUUCACCAGAACAAGAAGCUUAAACAAGAUGAAGAAGCAAAAAGAGGGCAAGAUAGCUCAUUCACUGUCAGCAACCAAGCAGGCGCUUCUAAUGCAAGCAGUGAGAAGAAUGUUGUGGGUUUUGGAAUAGAACAAAGUACAGCUUCAGUUCUUAUACAGUCUUUAAGAUGCAACUCUGGUGCUUCAGAAUCUCCUCCUGUUCCCCAGAUUCAGAAUGAACAGGGGGGAGAAAAUAUUAACUGCCACAACAGUGACAAUGUCUUGGCAUAUAAGAACAAGGCAGUUCCAAUGCCUAAUGGUGCUAUAGUUUCUGCCUCUUCUAUGGAAAACAUGCAUGGUGAAUUCCUGGAAAAAACACUGUCUCAGUAUAAUCCAGAACAUGUUUUCAUUGGAAUGCAGACAACUACAUCUCUUACAAAUGCCAUAAACACUCGGGCUAUUAAUGUGUUGGCGUGUGGCACAUCACAUUUAUUGCAUACCUCAGGGCAGAUAAGUUCCCUUCAAACCUCAAACUCUGAGCUGCCUCAGGUGCUAGCUUCUGUAGCUACUGAGGUCCACAAUAUAGAAAACUCCAGUAAAGGAUCCAUUUUACAAGCAAGCUCGACUUUUCAGGAUUCAGAGGUAAUGAAUUCAGAGCAGCAAAAGUCGGAAAAUACCUAUCAGUCACCUACAGACAACCGUGAAGUUUCAGGAAACACAGGGCAGGUUCCCAGUCAGGAUUUCUCCCUCAAUCCUAACAACAGUCUGAACACUCAUAACAAUAGCUCAGAGGUUUUGUCAGAGCCAAGAGAAGAAACUGGUGCUUCCUUCCAACAAGAUUCCAUGUUCAGGGAUGAUUCUUUUAAUCUACCCCCUAUUGCACCACCUUCUCCAGUGGAGGAAAUAAGCAAUGCGCUCUCUAUUGAGACUUCAGAAGAACCUAGUAAUGUUUCCAAUUUGAAAGAAGAAAAUAAUGGAGGGCUACCACAUCAUCAGGGGGAAUGUGCAACACAAUUUUCUGGCUUUUGCCAGCAAGCUUUUAGUUCUCAACAGGGUCAUCAAUACAAGAUUCAGGUUUCACAAGCAGCUGGGAGUGAAACAGAUAUGACACUCAGUACCGUGACACUGGGUGUAAGGCAGCAAUAUCCCAGUGAAAUUCAGUCCAAACUGGAGUCUAAAGUUCAGGAUCCACAAAGAUUAGGAAUCAGUAAAGAAUUGCAACAUUUUCCACAUCUUCUGAGCCAGAUUAAUCAGCAGACUACUCCUGAUAAUGAAAAAGAUCUGGUGAAAAAUCAUUUGCAGCAGUCACAAGCCCAUUCACAAGCUUCUUGGAUGAAAAUGACUUCUUCUCACUUUCACCCCAGUGAUUCUCCCCCAAAAUCAAAUGAGAUACUUUUGAGGACCAUGCUUCAACUCCAGGAAAAUUCAACCGAGCAGACACACCCAAAACAAUAUAAUAGAAGCUGCAAUGAAUCAAAAGGAGUUACAGGGCAAUCUUGCUACCAGAACAUUACACAGGGUGAGCAAAUACCAGUACUAUUCAGGGGUGAGGCAGCACAACUGCCUCAUCAUUUUACUCAUGAUUUGCAAAUCCCAUUCCCAAAGCACUCCCCACAAUCCAAAAAGAUGGAUGAUCAGCAGCAAAAUUCGAGGCACUUUCACUUUCAGCCACAGUCUGAACUCCACCUUGAACAGACUUUGGAGGCACAGUUAAAGCCUCAGCACUUAGAUCUUCCACCACUUGAGAAUGAGCAAUUCAUACAUUCACAUAUUUUGCCACCGGUACACCAGACUCAGCCAGUACAACCACCACAGAGUUCACAAGUAACAAUGAACUCCCCACAACAAAUGAAAACCACAAAAUUGCCCCAGAUCUUUCCCCAGUCAAACAACAGUCAAGAACAACAAAGGGAUGGAACAUCAUUAAAUCAGCUUAAAUUAGAAGAGUGCUUUGAAAUAGCAAGUAAUUACUUCAAAUCAACUGAAUUCCCAGUACAAAUCCCCCAGACCAGAUCAGACCAUAUUUCAAAUAUAACCAAUAAAGACUCCCUUUAUAAUCAGGCUUUUAAAGCAAAUAAUGUAAUAAAGCAUUCCUGCUCAAACAACAUGCACUUGGUUUCUGAGAAAAAGGAAGAUCCCAUAAACACAGAGCUCUUAACUCAAAAUAUAACUCAUGAUUUGCAGCACAUGCAAUAUUACCCAAAUAAUGCAACUCCAAAAGAAGAUCUGCCCCAGAGCUUUCAGGAACAAAAACCUGCAUCUCCACCAACUUCAUUUCUACAGCUACCCUUCCAGCAAGCACAGGAAUAUUCUAACUUGACUACCAAGGUGGAUAACUCACAAGCUACUCAGAUUCAACAAAGAUACUCACCCUAUACUCAGCAAGCAGCAUCCCAUAAAAUAGAUCAGAGCCAUGGCCACUAUCUUCCCUCUCAACCCCACAGAGAUUUUCAAAAGCAUGCUGCUAUCAGAUGGCAUAUCUUGAAUAAACAACAAGUUAACCAAAAUAAAUCUGAGUCAUGUCAUACUAUGGGCUUCAAAUCUAUCAAAGCUGAAACUGGCCCAAAGGCAAAUGUCUGCCUUCCUCCACUGCUUGGACAGUUGGAAAACAAAACAUGGAAGAAAGCAAUUAAGCAAGAGGUUCAGCACUUUGGCUGCGACAACAUGCAACAAAAGAGUAUCAUUGAAACCAUGGAGCAACAGUUGAAACAGAUUCAGGUCAAAACACCCUUUGAUCACAAGUCUCUUACUAUCAAAUCACCCAAACAUGUGAAAAUUGAGGCUGCGGGGCCCAUUACCGUUCUGACAAGGAAUUCUAACAGUUCAGAUUUCAACAGCCAUGCCGUCUCUUUAGAUCAACAAGCCAUUCAUUCUAAUGAAAAAACACCAACCAAAAGAACUUCUGGAACAGCCCUCAAUAAUUUCUUAGAGUCGCCUUCUAAGUUACUAGAUACACCUGUAAAAAACUUGCUGGAUACACCUGUCAAAACUCAAUAUGAUUUCCCUUCAUGUAGCUGUGUUGAACAGAUAAUUGAAAAAGAUGAAGGCCCUUUCUAUACUCAUCUAGGAGCUGGUCCUAAUGUCGCUGCUAUUAGAGAAAUAAUGGAAGAACGCUAUGGACAAAAGGGCAAAGCCAUAAGAAUAGAGAAGAUUGUCUACACAGGGAAAGAAGGCAGAAGUGCUCAAGGAUGUCCUAUAGCUAAAUGGGUGAUUCGUCGAAGUGGAACUGAAGAAAAACUUCUUUGUUUAGUGCGAGAACGUGCAGGCCACAGCUGUGAAACAGCUGUGAUAGUUGUACUCAUCUUGGUGUGGGAAGGAAUACCUCGGAGUCUAGCAGACAAGCUGUACUCUGAAUUGUCUGACACUUUAAAGAAGUAUGGCACGCUCACAAACCGUCGGUGUGCACUCAAUGAAGAACGAACCUGUGCAUGCCAAGGUCUGGAUCCUGAGGCUUGUGGUGCUUCUUUUUCUUUUGGUUGUUCGUGGAGUAUGUACUACAAUGGGUGCAAAUUUGCCAGAAGCAAGAUCCCAAGAAAGUUUAAACUAUUAGGCGAUGAUCCAAAAGAGGAAGAGAAGCUAGAAUCCAAUCUGCAAACUUUGUCAACUCUGAUGGCACCCACUUACAAGAAACUGGCACCUGAUGCAUAUAACAACCAGAUUGAAUAUGAACACAGAGCUCCCGAAUGUCGUCUUGGUUUAAAAGAAGGUCGCCCAUUCUCCGGGGUCACUGCCUGCCUGGAUUUUUGCGCUCAUGCUCAUAGAGACCUGCAUAAUAUGCAGAAUGGUAGUACAUUGGUAUGCACACUAACCAGAGAAGACAAUCGUGAAAUUGGCCAAACACCAGAAGAUGAACAAUUGCAUGUGCUUCCCUUGUAUAAAAUAUCCAAUGUAGAUGAGUUUGGAAGCACAGAAGGUCAGGAAGAGAAAAAGCAGAAUGGUAGCAUCCAGGUUCUUAGUUCUUUUCGACGAAAAGUAAGGAUGCUGGCCGAGCCUGUAAAAACCUGCCGGCAAAGGAAGCUGGAAGCCAAGAAAGCAGCAACGGAGAAGCUUGCUUCCAUGGAGAAUGGGUCUAGUAAACACGAGAGAGAAAAAUCAGCCCCAGUACGUCAAAAACAGGUCAAUGCAGAAGCACCAGCUCAUGCCAAGCAAUUAGCAGAUCUUUUGCAUCUUUCAGGACCAGCUAUGUCGCAACAGCAACUUUAUCAACAUCCAUGCCAGGCUCUCCCUUCUAAAUCUCAGUCAAAUCAUGGCAACUCAUACUCUGCUUCUGAUCCUACCAAUCUAUAUAUGAGUCUGUCUAAUCCAGCUAAUUCAUAUUCAAACUCUACACAUCCUUCUGAUCCUUAUGGAGGAUCCAAUCCUGUGAAUAUCUACCAAACUUCAUCACAAGCUACAGGAACUUAUUUGAAUUCUUCCAGUCUCAUGAAUCCCUAUUCUAUUCACUUAGGUCAGAAUAAUCAGUAUCCCCAUUAUCCAUGCAAUGGAAGCUUAUCAAUAGACAACUGUCCUUAUUACAGUUCCUAUUCUGCUCAAUCUCAGCAUAUGGACUUGUUUAGGUAUCAGAGCCAAGAUUCUCUGUCUAAACUAAGUCUACCACCAAUUCAUACAUUGUAUCAGCAUAGGAUUGGAAAUAAUCAGAACUUUGGGCACAGGUACUUGAAUUAUGGAAACCAAAAUGUGCCAGUAGAUGCUUUCAACAAUUGCACCUUUAGACCAAAUGUUCAUCAUGCAGGUUCUUUCCCACCUUACUCCCAGCAUGAGGCUGAUAACCCUUUUAUGGACAUCACCUCCAGGCUGAAAUCUAAUCUAAAUAAUCCAGGUGUAGACUUCAUGAAUAAAAAUGGUGAUCAUCUGUAUCCCCUACCACACCUUGCCCAUGACUAUCACGGCAUGUUCAAUGGCUCUUCUCAUUCCCUCCAUCUCCAAAACAAGAAUAGUCAAGCAGCUAAUGGGUUGUCAAACCUGUUUCCAGGUUUUAACCACAACAGAACUACUUCCCAAACAGGUGUAAAUAAAACAGAGGUGCUCAAUCCAGAGGAUCCUGAUGAUGUCUGGUCAGACAAUGAGCAGAGUUUUCUGGAUCCAGAUAUAGGAGGUGUGGCAGUGGCCCCAUCCCAUGGAUCAAUUCUCAUAGAGUGUGCUAAACGUGAGCUCCAUGCUACGACCCCAUUAAAAAGUCCUAACAGGAAUCACCCUACAAGGAUAUCACUUGUCUUCUACCAACACAAAAGUAUGAAUGAGCCAAAGCAUGGCCUGGCUUUGUGGGAGGCAAAAAUGGCUGAGAAGGCAAGAGAAAAAGAAGAGGACUGUGAAAAGUAUGGUCCAGAUUAUGUGCCUCAGAAAGUGCAUGGUAAAAAAGUAAAACGGGAGCCUGCUGAAUUAAACGAGAACCUGGAACCAACCUAUUUGCGAUUCAUCAGGUCCCUUGCACAAAGGACGAUGUCUCUUACCACAAAUUCCACAGUAACCACAUCUCCAUAUGCCUUUACGCGGGUUACAGGGCCUUAUAACAGAUAUAUAUAAAAGUCAAAUCUUUGUUCAUUACCUCAUCUUUAAAAAAACUCAGUAAUUGCUCCUUUUUAGGUCAUAGACGGAGUCAGGGCAAGAUACAGUAUUUUUCUUUUUGACUUGUCAGUGGGGAAACCUUCUUCAUACCAGCAAAAGAGGUAAUAUUACCACUGCAUAUGUUUGGAGAGCAGUCACAAGUAACAAUUAGAAACUAAAACCAAAGUAUCCUAUGCAAAAUUAAUAAGACAUAACAACCGGUUAGGACUGAAAUAGUGCUGUUACUACUGGUAAAAAAAAUGACCAUAAUUUUUAAAAUUUUACAUUUGUGACCAUUUCCCCAAGAGCAGAUUAAGCAAGAGAGUGCUUUUAUUUUUAAUGAUAAAAACUCUGUAGUAUUUCUUUUGCAGAAAAUAUUAAGCUUCUGCCGGGUGCUCAACCUCUGAUAUACUGAAAUGCUUACUGGAAACGUAGCUUUUUAGCAUGGAACAUUUUCUUUGUUUUUUGGUUUGGGUGUAACUUUAAUAUAGACCGAGAGUAAUCAGGAUGGCUACGCUUAUAGCAAACGAUACAAAGCAAAACACUGAAUUGGUUUUGGCUAUUCUAAAACAUGGUGCUAUAUACAAAAAUGGUGUCUACUGCAACAUUGGAACAGUUUUAAUGCUUUUUAUUAGCACUGGAUAGGUUCAAAAUAGACCCUGCUCCCCUUAAAUUGUAAACAAGACCUUUACAUUUGUGUUGGCCUCCAGUUAGCUUGACUUUAAAAAAAUAAAACAAAACUACAACUCAUUGUUUAAAGCAUGGGAAUCUUGAUGAGACGGGCAAGGUCCAACAAAGCUAUCGCAUGAACAGUGCAGGGGGAAUGCUAAGGGGAUGACGAAUGCAGCAAAGGCAGCAUUUUAAACUAAGAAACCCUCUGCCUAUUCAGCCGUAGAAGAACCAAUCCUCUACACUUCCACGGUUGAGUAGUGAAAUUGAGGGUAUCUUUCAAACAAAACAAUCUUAACCGUAGGUUGGCAAUGGGGGCGGGGGGUGCAUCUUUUUUGGUCCACCUACAGGAACUCUUGAAAUGUUAGGACCACAUCUUAGGUGUACCCAUGAAAUAGUUGAGGAACCCUGCUGUAGAACACUUAUCUAUUCACAAAAUGCAACAGAAACUCCCUGCUUAACUUUUUAAAAAAGAUUCAAAUGACACAGCAAGUCUGGAGAUCACCGGGCUCCAUUUUGCCUGUAUCUGAUUUAGCUUUACAUGAAUUAGCAGAAACAAGCACAAGGCAGUUAGAAGAAUUUAAUUUCUUUUAACCCAGCUCUAGUUUAUCAUGUCCAAAUAUAGGAGACUGGAGUUAGAUUAAGCCAUGAUUUGCUAAUAACCCAGAAUUAGACCAUAUUUUAUGAACCUGGUUUGUUAAAAACCAUGGUUUAGGCAAAGUAGAAUUUCAUAAGAUGGGAUGUAAUUAUGAUCUCUGGUUAACUAUAUAGAAUGUAUGCUUCCAGUCUUCGGUGGCAACACAUCGGAGGAGGAGAAGGAUCUCAGAGAGUUCCUUCAAUUCAUUAAUGUCAAGUUAAACUGGCUUACCGUUGGAUCUGCAAUGGAUCAUUUAGUUUAUAAGUCAGCAAAUUAGCAGUUGUAACUUCGUUAUGUAUGAUCCAAGUGGCUUGUUUGAUAGUACACUUCUUGUUUACAUUUUAUCAGCAUCUAAAUCACAUUUGUUGCAACCCAGAAAAUCAUUAUCAAAAAUAGAUAUCCUAGUCAAUCAACUAACCAGACCAGCUAUCUAGGUCUAAGUAUUUUCCCUAUUCUCUCAGGUGAUCAGCUGCAGUCAGAAUUUGUGACAGUGUACAUGGUCUUUUCUUCCCACCUAAACCAAGACUAUUUAAUAUAGCAAGUACUACUAUCACUAAUAUUCUUUUUCAUGGCUAAUUCAGCUGGAACAUGGAUCAAAGCUUCUUGAUAACGCAGCUGUUGAAUAAUGUUACAAUAACAAGAUGAUGCUAAACCCUUUCCCAGUCUGCCCUACCAUUUUGAAAAAUAUUUUCCUGCUGACUUAAUACCCCACAGAGGAGUUGUAAAUCAGAAAAGAAACUGGUCUUUUGUUUCAAUAAAGCUAUUGAAAAUACAAAAUAUAUAGAUAGAAGAUAAGAGUUUUAUUUGGAUUACCAGGAAAAUCCAAAUAAGGCUUUGAUGCUGCAUUCCUAUAUUCUUAUUCUCCUACUCCUCCAUGCUAAAUAAGUUUUGUUGGAUCUCACCAGAAUUCAUUCAUUUGGCCAAGAUCUAAUUAAGAACAGCAAACAAUAGAAAAAUGUUUUGUGAAUGGUGCUUGAAUGGUGCUUGAAUGGUGUUUAUCAGGCUGCCACUGAUAAACAUUAUCUGGGUGCUAAAACUUUCCAAACAUUUACUGUAAUAUUCAAAGAAACCUUUAAAAAUAUAAGCAAUAAUAAUUUAUUAAAUUUAUAUACCACCCAGAGUCACUGGGAGUCAGGCAGCAUAUACAUUUAAUAAAUUAUUACUGUUGUUGUUGUUGUUAUUAUUUAAAUCUUUUGAUCUUUCAGGCAAAUUCAUGUAAGAUGGAAAGGGUAGGAAGUAUUUGGAACUGCAAACAGAAGGAGAAAGUGUUUAAGCCAGUUUCAGACUGACUGAGAUGAACUGAAACCAUUGCUCAAACACUCGCUAAUGGAACAGAGAAAGAAUAAACCUUCAUUUACUCUGUUCAAAGCAGAACUAACUGGAUUGAAAAAAAGAAUGCAAGCUUCAUGUUUCGGUGCUCAGUUCACACAGGUAUAUUGUGAAUAUUAAUUUUAACGAUAUUGUUGAGAAGCUCUUUGCUCAAAUAGUACACAUUUUAAGUUUUUAAUAUAUUAGUCACAGACAAUAACAACAAGAGUUAAACUUGACAAUUUGUCAUAUGAUUUUAAGCUACUUUUUAAGGAACCAUAACACUCUCCAGAUGAUGGUUACUGCUUUAUUUAAUAAUCAAGGAUUAUUUAUGUUAUGGUAUACGACACUGCUCAGUGUAACGGAGCCCUAUUUUCUAGGAAAUGUUAAGAGUCGAAGCAAAGAAAUACAGGGUUGUUCUGUAGGAGGCUGGGGGCUUGGGGAGAAUACAAGAGGCAGCUGGCUUGCUGUGGCGAUUUUUAAUUGGUAAUUUGUAUAAAAGUGUAAGCAAAAGAGAUGUAUAGUAACUUGUAAACAAUUUUAAUGCAAUGCUUUAGUAUUUUAAUACUGUACAGAUAUAUAAAUAUAUAUUAUAUAUCAAUAUAUCUCUCUCUAUAUAUAUGGGUUUGGAACUGAAUUCACAUCAUGGUGCUACUCGGCCUGUUAUUAAAAAAAUGUGCGCUAAAACUAUGUGGAAAUUAUGUUUGAAUGAUGUUCCUACUUGUCAUAUACCUCAACACUAGUUGGCAGUAGGAUGUUAAAUGGAGAGAUAUAGCGUAUCAUGUUCCCCUGAUUUUCUGCCCUGCUAAUCUUUGGGAAAAAGAAAUUCUCACUACUUGAUAGCAAGUGUAACUUGAACUUUAACACAUAGUUUUGUUCUAAAAAUUCAGGGAUAUAUCCUCUCACAAUUUCCUUAGUAAGCCAAUGUAUCAUCUGUGUAUGUGUAUGUAAAGUUUUAUUGUACAGAUUGAUAAAUAUUAUUGUUGAGGCUUUUUUUUAAAUUCUACUUUGUUUUUGAGAAUUUCAACUGUUUUUUAAUUCUGCUUCUAAUUUUACCUGUAAAUGUAUUGAUGGCAAAUGUUCCGGGGUAAAUCCAUUUCCUCUUUUUUAUGACAAUGAAAGUGCAUUUUUAAUAUUGUAAACUCUGCUUGGGAUUUCUUCUUCUUUCCCCCCUUUUGCAUGUUACAUACAAAACAAACCAUAGAUUGCACUGAGCUGACAAGAAGACAAUUAUAAAAGUAGGUAUUUGGCAGCUGACCGUUUGCAAGAAGGUUGUGCCUUUUCCAAAUUCCAUAAAUAUGUUUUCAACUGUGAUUGCUGUUUUAUUUCAUGAACUUUCAGGCAGGAGUUUAGGGAAUAGAGAGAUUCAUGGAGGAAAAGAUUGCAAGUGGCUACCAGUCAUGAUAGCUAUAGACUAUCUUUAGGGUUGCAGACAACUUAUCUCUGAAUAUUAGUUGUUGAGAAACAACAGUAGGGGUAAAAAAAAGUAUAGUAUUUGUAUUCUGUAUGCAAUAUUUUGCAUCUGGUUGGCUACUGUGAGAAACAGCAUGCCGGACCUUAUAACUUCUGGUCUGGCCCACUUGGUCUUACAUUAGGCAUGUAGUGUGCAUUUAUAAAGUAUGGCAGUGCAAUACAUAUACAUAUGUAUGUAUGUUUGUAAAGGCCCUGAUUCUGAAACAAGUUACUUGUAUUGUUUCACUCAGUGUCAGGGGUAUAUGGGCAUAUUCUGUCUGGGCUGCAGAAAUCAGAAUAAUCACUAUAUGGCAGCAAGAGUUGUUCCGCAUCUCCUUGUUUCCAUCGAGUGAUUUGGUCAUCCAGGCCUUUGCAACCCAGCUACCAUACGCCCAGGGGAACUGGUGCCUUCUGGAUGUUGCUGAGCUUCCACACAAAGCAUCUGUAGUUCAACAAAAUCUGGAGAUGUUCCUUACCCUUGUUUUACACCAGUGUUGCCCGAACU